GCAUAACGCGAAGAACCUUACCCACCUUUGACAUGUACGGAAUCCUUUAGAGAUAGAGGAGUGCUCGAAAGAGAGCCGUAACACAGGUGCUGCAUGGCUGUCGUCAGCUCGUGUCGUGAGAUGUUGGGUUAAGUCCCGCAACGAGCGCAACCCUUGCCAUUAGUUGCUACAUUUAGUUGAGCACUCUAAUGGGACUGCCGGUGACAAACCGGAGGAAGGUGGGGAUGACGUCAAGUCCUCAUGGCCCUUAUAGGUGGGGCUACACACGUCAUACAAUGGCUGGUACAAAGGGUUGCCAACCCGCGAGGGGGAGCUAAUCCCAUAAAGCCAGUCGUAGUCCGGAUCGCAGUCUGCAACUCGACUGCGUGAAGUCGGAAUCGCUAGUAAUCGUGGAUCAGCAUGUCACGGUGAAUACGUUCCCGGGUCUUGUACACACCG
rnacentral:rRNA from 1 species